rnacentral:rRNA from 1 species
UGGAAUUGCUGUAAUGGCAGGUCAGCAUACUGCCGUGAAUACGUUCCCGGGCCUUGUACACACCGCCCGUCACACCAUGAGAGUUGGAAAUACCCGAAGCCUGUGAGCUAACUGUAAAGAGGCAGCAGUCGAAGGUAGAGCCAAUGAUUGGGGUGAAGUCGUAACAAGGUAGC